CACCACUUCCUAUAAAUAGUGUUUAUUGAAUACCUUCUACGGUCUGAAGCUGGGAUAAUUACUGCAGGCAUCAUCUUGUUUAACCUUAGCUGCCACUUUUUCUCCAGAGAUAGGUACCAUUGUCUUCCUCAUUUUACCCUACUCUUGGAGAUCACAUUCUGGGCCAAUUUGGCAGACCAACUUUGCCUGACCCUAACUCCACCCUAUCCUCCAUCCCUUGGUGUCAAGUCAACCAUCUACUGAGAAGCCACUGCUGCACUGUAUUCCAGACUGAAGGGCACAGAGAAGGGGGAGUGAACACUGGCAAACUCAGUAAUUCUGAAGCCACAAAGUAACGCUGGGAUACAUGUGAAAACAUUGCUGUGGAAGAGGAGGUCUGCCAUUCACCUAACCACUUCUUCGGUAAUCUGUGACCUUGGGCAGUCCCAUUUUGAAGACAGAGACAUAUGCCCAGCUGUAAGACUACAAUUGCCAGUCUACCUUGCACAUAAGCUAUUGAAUGUGACAUGACCUGGAGAAGAAGCCGUAUGUUAGGCUUUGGAUCAUAUAGAAGGAAGGAGCCUGAGUUACUGAGGAUCACAGAGGCUUGAUGAAUGAGUUUGUUGACCACUGAUUCUUCACCCAAUAUCUGAUGGGUGGUCUUUCAUUUCAAAAGAUUCAUGCUGCUCUGUGCCUAUAUGUUAUGAUGUUUGGAAACAGUGGACUUGUAAUUGCUCAGACAUUGCUGCCAGCUCAGUGGAGAUGAUUGAGAAUGGAUGGCGUUGGUCAUCAGAUCAUUAUGGAAAGUACUGAACACUGGAUGCCAUGUAAUUCAUUUUUAAUUCAAGACUGAAUAAAUAAACUGCAUUUUUGAA